rnacentral:tRNA from 2 species
GCGCCCGUGGCUCAGUAGGAUAGAGCACCAGAUUCCUAAUCUGGGUGUCGCAGGUUCGAAUCCUGCCGGGCGCACCA